rnacentral:rRNA from 1 species
ACGGAUCCAUAUUGAAACCUAGUGAUGUAUGGAUUAGUGGCGGACGGGUGAGUAACGCGUGGAUAACCUGCCGUAUACAGGGGGAUAACACUUAGAAAUAGGUGCUAAUACCGCAUAAGCGCACGGUUCCGCAUGGAACAGUGUGAAAAACUUCGGUGGUAUACGAUGGAUCCGCGUCUGAUUAGCCAGUUGGCGGGGUAACGGCCCACCAAAGCGACGAUCAGUAGCCGGCCUGAGAGGGUGAACGGCCACAUUGGGACUGAGACACGGCCCAAACUCCUACGGGAGGCAGCAGUGGGGAAUAUUGCACAAUGGGGGAAACCCUGAUGCAGCGACGCCGCGUGAGUGAAGAAGUAUUUCGGUACGUAAAGCUCUAUCAGCAGGGAAGAAAAGAAGUCCUUUGGAUUUUGGACGGUACCUGACCAAGAAGCCCCGGCUAACUACGUGCCAGCAGCCGCGGUAAUACGUAGGGGGCAAGCGUUAUCCGGAUUUACUGGGUGUAAAGGGAGCGUAGACGGCAGCGCAAGUCUGGAGUGAAAUGCCGGGGCCCAACCCCGGAACUGCUUUGGAAACUGUGCAGCUCGAGUGCAGGAGAGGUAAGCGGAAUUCCUAGUGUAGCGGUGAAAUGCGUAGAUAUUAGGAGGAACACCAGUGGCGAAGGCGGCUUACUGGACUGUAACUGACGUUGAGGCUCGAAAGCGUGGGGAGCAAACAGGAUUAGAUACCCUGGUAGUCCACGCCGUAAACGAUGAUUACUAGGUGUCGG